rnacentral:rRNA from 1 species
CGGUUGAUCCUGCCGGAGGUCACUGCUAUUGGGAUUCGAUUAAGCCAUGCGAGUCGAGAGGGUUCGGCCCUCGGCAGACGGCUCAGUAACACGUGGAUAACCUGCCCUAUGGUGGAGGAUAACCUCGGGAAACUGAGAAUAAUACUCCAUAGGUCUAAGAUGCUGGAAUGCACUUAGGCUGAAAACUCCGGUGCCAUAGGAUGAGUCUGCGGACUAUCAGGUUAUAGUCAGGGUAACGACCUGACUAGCCUACGACGGAUACGGGUUGUGAGAGCAAUAACCCGGAGAUGAUAUCUGAGACACGAUAUCAGGCCCUGCGGGGCGCAGCAGGCGCGAAAACUUCACAAUGUGCGAAAGCACGAUGAGGGAAUCCCAAGUGCUUGCACGUAAGUGUAAGCUGUUUCUCUGUCUAAAAAGCAGAGAGAGUAAGGGCUGGGUAAGACGGGUGCCAGCCGCCGCGGUAAUACCUGCAGCUCGAGUGGUGACCGUUAUUAUUGGGCCUAAAACGUCCGUAGCCGGUUUAAUAAAUGCCUGGGUAAAUCGGACCGCUUAACGGUUCGAAUUCCGGGUAGACUGUUAAACUUGAGACCGGGAGAAGUUAGAGGUACUCCUGGGGUAGAGGUGAAAU